UACAGAGGGGGCAAGCGUUGUUCGGAAUUACUGGGCGUAAAGGGCGCGUAGGCGGCCUGCUAAGUCGGACGUGAAAUCCCUCGGCUCAACCGAGGAACUGCGUCCGAUACUGGUGGGCUUGAGUAUGGGAGAGGGAUGUAGAAUUCCAGGUGUAGCGGUGAAAUGCGUAGAUAUCUGGAGGAAUACCGGUGGCGAAGGCGGCAUCCUGGACCAUAACUGACGCUGAGGCGCGAAAGCUAGGGGAGCAAACGGG
rnacentral:rRNA from 1 species